rnacentral:rRNA from 1 species
AUGAGUCUUAUAUCACAUCGUGUACUUAGUGCUCAGAUUGUCAAAGCAAAGAAGGAUCAACGUCACAACCUCUUCCACAUCAAAGGAGUCGUCAAGGAGCAUUCCGUUCGCAUAAUAAUUGAUGGAGGGAGUUGUAACAAUUUAGCCAGCAUUGACAUGGUGGAGAAGCUCUCCCUACCUUCCCGACAACAUCCACAACCGUACUACAUUCAAUGGUUUAAUGAUGGUGGAAAGGUAAAGGUAACACGCAUGGUGAGAGUUCCUUUUUCUUUAGGUUCAUACCAUGACACUAUUGAUUGCGAUAUUGUGCCUAUGCAAGCUUGUUCUAUGUUACUAGGAAGGCCAUGGCAAUAUGAUAAACAAUGUUUACAUGAUGGUAGAACUAAUCAGUACACUCUCGCACAUAAAGGAAAGAAAAUCAUUCUACACCCUAUGUCUCCUGAGCAAAUUUUAAAAGAUGAUCUUGCUAGGGCUAGUCGAAACACAAAAUUUGAGCGUACUAAAUCUGAAAAUCAGAAAGUUGUUGAUGAGUUAGAACAAUUUAAUAAGAUGCACAAAUCUGAUCCUAGCACAUCUAAAGAAAUUAAAUUGAAAGGUGCUUCUUUCUUAGCUACACGUGCUGAAAUUUUUGAGUUAGAUGCUCAUACUGAUGAAUGUUAUGCUCUUAUUUGCAAAGAAGUUUUGUUUUCAUUUGAGGAUAUGCCUUCUUCUUUGCCUCCUGUUGUCGCUAAUCUUUUGCAGGAGUACCAUGAUGUUUUCCCAAAGGAAGUACCACCGGGGCUGCCACCUAUGAGAGGAAUUGAACAUCAAAUUGACUUGAUACCUGGCGCCUCAUAA